AUGAACGCUAGCGGCAGGCUUAACACAUGCAAGUCGAGGGGCAGCAUGACACGGAGAUUCGUCGAAGUGUUGAUGGCGACCGGCGCAAGGGUGCGUAACGCGUGAGCAACUUGCCCGUUUCUGGGGCAUAACCGGUGGAAACGCCGACUAAUACCCCAUAGUAUUGGAUUUAGGCAUCUUUAUCCAAUUAAAGAAAUUCGGAAACGGAUAGGCUCGCGUGACAUUAGCUAGAUGGCGGGGUAACGGCCCACCAUGGCGACGAUGUCUAGGGGUUCUGAGAGGAAGGUCCCCCACACUGGAACUGAGACACGGUCCAGACUCCUACGGGAGGCAGCAGUGAGGAAUAUUGGUCAAUGGUCGGAAGACUGAACCAGCCAUGCCGCGUGAAGGUCACGGCCCUAUGGGUCUUAAACUUCUUUUGUAAGGGAGCAAUAAGGUUCACGUGUGGACUGAUGAGAGUACCUUACGAAUAAGCAUCGGCUAACUCCGUG
rnacentral:rRNA from 1 species